rnacentral:snRNA from 1 species
GUUAAAAACGGUCCCAAGGGAUCUUUUU